GGGCUUCUUGUAGAUCAGUUGGAAGAUCGCUGCCUUUGCAAGGCAGAGGCCCUGGGUUCGAGUCCCAGCAAGUCCA
rnacentral:tRNA from 1 species